rnacentral:rRNA from 1 species
CUAAGAAUAUUCCGCAAUGGAGGAAACUCUGACGGAGCGACGCCGCGUGGAUGAUGAAGGUCGGAAGAUUGUAAAAUCCUUUUAUGACUGAGGAAUAAGUACGUUGAGAGAAACGGCGUAUGGUGACUGUAGGUCAUGAAUAAGCAACGGCUAAUUCCGUGCCAGCAGCCGCGGUAAUACGGAAGGUCCGGGCGUUAUCCGGAUUUAUUGGGUUUAAAGGGAGCGUAGGCCGCCUGGUAAGCGUGUUGUGAAAUGUCGUUGCUCAACAACGUCACUGCAGCGCGAACUGCUGGGCUUGAGUGUGCGGAAAGCGGGCGGAAUUUGUGGUGUAGCGGUGAAAUGCUUAGAUAUCACGAAGAACUCCGAUUGCGAAGGCAGCUCGCUGUAGCAUUACUGACGCUGAAGCUCGAAGGUGCGGGUAUCGAACA